GGUGGCUCCGGCCCGCCGGCCGCCGCAGGAACACUGUGACUCGCGGGCCCUGGUCCCCUGCUGGGCCCCAGGGAUAGAGGUGGUUACAGACACCA